CCAAAAGAAAAAAUAGUGAGAGCAGAGAGGGAAAUGGCGAGAAAUUCAUCAUCAGCACUACUUGGAAUUUCUCGUAAGAAUUUCUUCUGCUUCGAUCAAAACCCUAACAAUAAGUACUCAAAUCUCUUCAUCUUCAUCUAGUUUCGGUAAUAUACUUGAUAAUCAGAUGAAACCCUCGUCUUCUUUUGCUUCAACAUGUGUUCCUCUCUUCUCAUCCCUCUAUUUAUCUUCAUCAGCUCGAUCUUUCUGUUCUUCUUCAUCAUCUAGGUUUCAGGUGGAUCUAAUUUUGUCAGAACAAGGGUUUAACAGUUCUCUCAAGAAAGCGCAAGAUGACAACUUCCCAGCAAUAUUCUACUUCACUGCUGUCUAGUGUCCUCCGUUAUUAGGCAAACUAAUUUCUCCUGUCAUUGAAAGUUUGAGCAAGAAAUUUCCACACGUGACGACAUUCAAAGUCGGCAUUGAUCAGGAGGAGAUCCGAAGAAACUAGAGGAACUGAAUGUUAUGUCUGUGCCAGCAAUUCACUUCUUUCAAAAUGGGAAAAAAGGCUUCACAGCACCAAGAACGACUAAUCAGUCGUCUAUCCCUUAAGUUUAAGUUGCCAAGUGAUGAUGUUUUGAAUAUGUUUAGCAAGUAAUGCUGUGUUUUGUUUUAGAAACUUGAAGCUUAGUUGAGUAGAAAUGGUGGUUGUAAACUAAUGAUUUUAUUGUUUUAAACAGAACCAGUUGUGAGUUUUUAUCUUGUCUGAUCUGUUCUCACGCAGAAGAGUUUAUUUCUUUCUUGUUGUUGUAGAAGAGAAGCAUUCUCAUCUGUGCUUAUUUAAUUUAUAUGUUUGUUCCA